rnacentral:lncRNA from 1 species
UCUCUUUCACACUAUUUUCACUGUUACCAUGUUCUCUCUCCCUCUCUCUAUUUCCCGCUCUCUCCAGAGUGUCCAUCAUGACCCUAACAGUGACACGUACACAGGUCUGAACAUGAGGACCAUGUCACCUGACUACGACACGCUGGCAAGUGUCCAUCCUGACCCUAACAGUGACAUGUGCACAUCUAUGAAGAAGAAGACCAGAUCACCAGAGUGACACCCUGGGAGUGUGUGUGUGUGUGUGUGUGUGUGUGUGUGUGUGUGUGUGUGUGUGUGUGUGUGUGUGUGUGUGCGUGUGCGUGCGUCCAAGUGUCCAUAAACACUUCAUGAAGUGCGGUGUAAAGUGUUCAUUCAGUGUGUCUUCUUUCAGAUUAAGGGACUCCCCUGUGACACAGACCCUCAGAUAGAUGCUGAGCCCUCCGAUUAUCAGAACUGAAGCAAACCACCACAGAACCUGGACAGUGACACAGACCCUCAGAUAGAUGCUGAGCCCUCCGAUUAUCAGAACUGAAGCAAACCACCACAGAACCUGGACAGUGACACAGACCCUCAGAUAGAUGUUGAGCCCUCCGAUUAUCAGAACUGAAGAGAACCACCACAGAACCUGGACUGAAGUCAACCAACACAGAACCUGGACUGUAGAGAACCAUAACAGAACCUGGUCCGAAGAGAAGAGAACCCCCAAUGUUUUUUCCUUGUAAUGUUAAUUAAAUAUAUUGAAGAUAAAUAGGCUGGAUUAUACUUUUACUCUUUUAUAAUGGGACAUUUCCCACCAAAAUGUCCAAAGUUAUUCUCAUGUAGUAAUGAAAACAACAAUGAAGGCGAUGCGGGCACCAGCUGGAAAAUGUGAAAAAGUUUGUGCAGGUCCUGUUCUGACUGGAGAUGCGCAAAUGUCUGCAUACUUGAUCUGCGGAAACAAUUGGGAGGUGCUUGGGUAAGUUCGUCAGGCUCAGUAAUUCCCCAAAAACUGAAUUGUCAGCAAAAGUGAAAUGGCCUACUUUUAUGUGAAAUAAUGAGGACCCCAACUCAAACUGUUGUUAGAAAAUAAAACUUGUUAGAAAAUCAUAUGAAUUUGACAAGUUGAAACAGCCUAUACAUAAAAGCAGGCAGCGUGCCUUAGUUUGAGGGCAGCGCGGAUUAAGACAUUAACCUUUUCACAUGAGUUCCAAUAUCUCUAACGGUUGCCCCAGCAUAAGUUUUUUAUGCACGUGAUGUCAGAAUGCCCUCACUGUUCCAAAAUGUCAUUGUUACGCAACAGGACAGUUGAGCUAACGUAGGCUAAUGCGAUUAGCAUGAGGUUGUAAAUAACAAGAACAUUUCCCAGGACAUAGACAUAUCUGAUAUUGGCAGAAAGCUUACAUUCUUGUUAAUUUAACUUCACUGUACAAUUUACAGUAGCUAUUACAGAGAAAUAAUACCAUGCUAUUGUUUGAGGAGAGUGGACCAUUUUGAACAUGAAUGUUAUUAAUAAAC